CCUACGGUGAGCAGCAGUCGAGAAUCAUUCACAAUGGGGGAAACCCUGAUGGUGCGACGCCGCGUGGGGGAAUGAAGGUCUUCGGAUUGUAAACCCCUGUCAUGUGGGAGCAAAUUAAAAAGAUAGUACCACAAGAGGAAGAGACGGCUAAGUCUGUGCCAGCAGCCGCGGUAAUACAGAGGUCUCAAGCGUUGUUCGGAAUCACUGGGCGUAAAGCGUGCGUAGGCUGUUUCGUAAGUCGUGUGUGAAAGGCGCGGGCUCAACCCGCGGACGGCACAUGAUACUGCGAGACUAGAGUAAUGGAGGGGGAACCGGAAUUCUCGGUGUAGCAGUGAAAUGCGUAGAUAUCGAGAGGAACACUCGUGGCGAUGGCGGGUUCCUGGACAUUAACUGACGCUGAGGCACGAAGGCCAGGGGAGCGAAAGGGAUUAGAUACCCUAGUAGUC
rnacentral:rRNA from 1 species